UACGGAGGGUGCGAGCGUUGUCCGGAAUCACUGGGCGUAAAGGGCGCGUAGGCGGCCUGAUAAGUAGGGGGUGAAAUCCUGCGGCUUAACCGCAGGGCUGCCUUCUAGACUGUCAGGCUAGAGCACAGUAGAGGCAGGUGGAAUUCCCGGUGUAGCGGUGGAAUGCGUAGAGAUCGGGAAGAACACCAGUGGCGAAGGCGGCUUCCUGGACACCAACUGACGCUGAGACGCGAAAGCGUGGGGAGCAAACAGG
rnacentral:rRNA from 1 species